UGUGAAAGCGCAGUCCGAGCAAUCGGCGGAGAGACAGGUGUUGCAUGGCUGUCGUCAGCUCGUGUCGUGAGAUGUUGGGUUAAGUCCCGCAACGAGCGCAACCCUUGUCUUCUGUUGCCAUCAGGUUAAGCUGGGCACUCUGAAGAGACUGCCGGUGACAAACCGGAGGAAGGUGGGGAUGACGUCAAGUCAGCAUGGCCUUUAUGUCUGGGGCCACACACGUGCUACAAUGGCCGGUACAAACCGUUGCAAACUCGCGAGGGUGAGCUAAUCGGAUAAAGCUGGUCUCAGUUCGGAUUGUAGGCUGCAACUCGCCUGCAUGAAGUUGGAAUCGCUAGUAAUCGCGGAUCAGCACGCCGCGGUGAAUACGUUCCCGGGCCUUGUACACACCGCCCGUCACAUCACGAAAGCCGG
rnacentral:rRNA from 1 species